UACGUAGGGUGCGAGCGUUAAUCGGAAUUACUGGGCGUAAAGCGUGCGCAGGCGGUUCGUUAUGUCCGAUGUGAAAGCCCCGAGCUUAACUUGGGAAUGGCAUUGGAAACUGGCGGGCUGGAGUGCGGCAGAGGGGGGGUGGAAUUCCACGUGUAGCAGUGAAAUGCGCAGAUAAUCAGGAGGAACACCGGUGGCGAAGGCGGACCCACUGGUCCGGGUAAGCUGACCGCU
rnacentral:rRNA from 1 species